rnacentral:rRNA from 1 species
UACGGAGGGAGCUAGCGUUGUUCGGAAUUACUGGGCGUAAAGCGUGCGUAGGCGGUUAUUCAAGUCAGAGGUGAAAUCCCGGGGCUCAACCCCGGAACUGCAUCCGAUACUGCCGUGCUAGAGGAUUGGAGAGGUAGCUGGAAUUCUUGGUGUAGCAGUGAAAUGCGUGGAGAUCAAGAGGAACACUCGUGGCGAAAGCGAGCUACUGGACAAUAUCUGACGCUGAGGCUCGAAGGCCAGGGUAGCGAAAGGG